rnacentral:rRNA from 1 species
UACAGAGGUCCCAAGCGUUGUUCGGAUUCACUGGGCGUAAAGGGUGCGUAGGCGGUCGGAUAAGUCUGAUGUGAAAUCUCACAGCUUUACUGUGAAACUGCAUUGGAUACUAUCCGGCUCGAGGAAUGGAGGGGAGACUGGAAUACUUGGUGUAGCAGUGAAAUGCGUAGAUAUCAAGUGGAACACCAGUGGCGAAGGCGAGUCUCUGGACAUUUCCUGACGCUGAGGCACGAAAGCCAGGGGAGCAAACGGG